rnacentral:rRNA from 1 species
GGCCCGCACAAGCGGUGGAGCAUGUGGUUUAAUUCGAUGCAACGCGAAGAACCUUACCUACUCUUGACAUCCAGAGAAUUUAGCAGAGAUGCUUUAGUGCCUUCGGGAACUCUGAGACAGGUGCUGCAUGGCUGUCGUCAGCUCGUGUUGUGAAGUGUUGGGUUAAGUCCCGCAACGAGCGCAACCCUUAUCCUUUGUUGCCAGCGAUUCGGUCGGGAACUCAAAGGAGACUGCCGGUGAUAAACCGGAGGAAGGUGGGGAUGACGUCAAGUCAUCAUGGCCCUUACGAGUAGGGCUACACACGUGCUGCAAUGGCGUAUACAAAGAGAAGCGACCUCGCGAGAGCAAGCGGAACUCAUAAAGUACGUCGUAGUCCGGAUUGGAGUCUGCGACUCGACUCCAUGAAGACGGAAUCGCUAGUAAUCGUAGAUCAGAAUGCUACGGUGAAUACGUUCCCGGGCCUUGUAUACACCGCCCGUCACACCAUGGGAGUGGGUUGCAAAAGAAGUAGGUAGCUUAACCUUCGGGAGGGCGCUUACCACUUUGUGGUUCAUGACUGGGGUGAAGUCGUAA